GAGGUUAUAGCUUAGUGGUUGAGCACGUGCUUAGCAUGCAUGAGGUCCUGGGUUCAGUCCUCAGUACCUCU
rnacentral:tRNA from 1 species